CGGUAUACAAUGUGUGGGUACAGUAAACUAGUAAGAGGAAAAUUACAGCUAAACACAAACAACGCAGAAAUGUAAAAAGAGCCCUGGUCCUUGACAGUAAGAAAAAAAAAAAUGGUCUGGUCACUAAGGGGUUAGAGGAAAUGGAGUGGGGUGCCAUCACAGUCUUUUAGGGGCCGUUUGCAGUCCCUCCUUGCAUAAAUUGUCAUUAUACGUUAAGCACUGUGAAAUUUGUUGGCGUCAUGUAAAACGGUAAUAGCCUUAUCCCUCUAUCAGCCAUUGUUUCAAGUCCAAGAUUGGCUAGUUUGAGAUCUGCUCCACUUGCAAGUUAGUAUUAGAAAAUGCAGGGACAACCAACUGACCGACACUUACACAGCCCAACUCAAAACGGAAUUUGCAAAACUGACAAUUCUUACGCAGGUAGCCUAGGUUGCGGACACUGUCCCCCUGCCAGAGAGCCAGCAACAGACUCUCCUCCAUGAUGGGAGCUCACUAGGCUGUGUGGGAGGAAAGGCACAACUGACAGGCAAUGGCAAGCGGCUGGGGGAAAAACCCUGAAUUGCUGGUUAGAAUUGUAAAUCCCUGUGCGUUUAUCACCUGUUACACACAACACUGAACUAUACAUUGUCAGCCUCUGAUCUGCGCGUGGACAGGACUAAUAUAGAAUAUAUGUGGGGGUGGGGUGGGCGCGCAAGCCGAAUUAGUGC